UACGUAGGGGGCAAGCGUUGUCCGGAUUUAUUGGGCGUAAAGAGCGUGUAGGCGGUUUGUCGCGUCUGCUGUGAAAAUCCGGGGCUCAACCCCGGACUUGCAGUGGGUACGGGCAGACUAGAGUGUGGUAGGGGAGACUGGAAUUCCUGGUGUAGCGGUGAAAUGCGCAGAUAUCAGGAGGAACACCGAUGGCGAAGGCAGGUCUCUGGGCCACUACUGACGCUGAGAAGCGAAAGCAUGGGGAGCGAACAGG
rnacentral:rRNA from 1 species